GCAAGUCGAGCGGACAGAUGGGAGCUUGCUCCCUGAUGUUAGCGGCGGACGGGUGAGUAACACGUGGGUAACCUGCCUGUAAGACUGGGAUAACUCCGGGAAACCGGGGCUAAUACCGGAUGGUUGUUUGAACCGCAUGGUUCAGACAUAAAAGGUGGCUUCGGCUACCACUUACAGAUGGACCCGCGGCGCAUUAGCUAGUUGGUGAGGUAACGGCUCACCAAGGCGACGAUGCGUAGCCGACCUGAGAGGGUGAUCGGCCACACUGGGACUGAAACACGGCCCAGACUCCUACGGGAGGCAGCAGUAGGGAAUCUUCCGCAAUGGACGAAAGUCUGACGGAGCAACGCCGCGUGAGUGAUGAAGGUUUUCGGAUCGUAAAGCUCUGUUGUUAGGGAAGAACAAGUGCCGUUCAAAUAGGGCGGCACCUUGACGGUACCUAACCAGAAAGCCACGGCUAACUACGUGCCAGCAGCCGCGGUAAUACGUAGGUGGCAAGCGUUGUCCGGAAUUAUUGGGCGUAAAGGGCUCGCAGGCGGUUUCUUAAGUCUGAUGUGAAAGCCCCCGGCUCAACCGGGGAGGGUCAUUGGAAACUGGGGAACUUGAGUGCAGAAGAGGAGAGUGGAAUUCCACGUGUAGCGGUGAAAUGCGUAGAGAUGUGGAGGAACACCAGUGGCGAAGGCGACUCUCUGGUCUGUAACUGACGCUGAGGAGCGAAAGCGUGGGGAGCGAACAGGAUUAGAUACCCUGGUAGUCCACGCCGUAAACGAUGAGUGCUAAGUGUUAUGGGGUUUCCGCCCCUUAGUGCUGCAGCUAACGCAUUAAGCACUCCGCCUGGGGAGUACGGUCGCAAGACUGAUACUCAAAGGAAUUGACGGGGGCCCGCACUAGCGGUGGAGCAUGUGGUUUAAUUCGAAGCAACGCGAAGCAUCUUACCAGGUCUUGACAUCCUCUGACAAUCCUAGAGAUAGGACGUCCCCUUCGGGGGCAGAGUGACAGGUGGUGCAUGGUUGUCGUCAGCUCGUGUCGUGAGAUGUUGGGUUAAGUCCCGCAACGAGCGCAACCCUUGAUUUUAGUUGCCAGCAUUCAGUUGGGCACUUUAAGGUGACUGCCGGUGACAAACCGGAGGAAGGUGGGGAUGACGUCAAAUCAUCAUGCCCCUUAUGACCUGGGCUACACACGUGCUACAAUGGACAGAACAAAGGGCAGCGAAACCGCGAGGUUAAGCCAAUCCCACAAAUCUGUUUUCAGUUCGGAUCGCAGUUUGCAACUUGACUGCGUGAAGCUGGAAUCGCUAGUAAUCGCGGAUCAGCAUGCCGCGGUGAAUACGUUCCCGGGCCUUGUACACCCCGCCCGUCACACCACGAGAGUUUGUAACACCCGAAGUCGGUGAGGUAACCUUUAUGGAGCCAGCCGCCGA
rnacentral:rRNA from 1 species